rnacentral:misc_RNA from 1 species
UUGGAAUUUGAGGUUUUCUGGGUUAUACAAUUGUGAAUAUACAAACAGCUAAAGCAUUGGAUGCAUUUGCACUUUGGGGAAGAAGAGCAAUGCUUAAUGGUGGGCUGAAGAAUCAUUAAAGCAUUCCAUAAACCUUUGGGAAGUAUUCAACUUCCUAGUUACAAAAUUUUCAAAUCUUUUUACCGUUGCCCACCCACUUGUCCAGCAUACCUUCAACGAAAGGACAAUGAGGAGCUGGGUUAGCCCCCAAUAAGGUCACCAUCCAUCAAAGACCAUCUCUGUUCUUGUUGCAAUUCUAAUUCUAGAGGACCUCAUCAAAACUACAUAAAAUUUUCCCUUUUAAUUGAGGGAAGAUGAAGGCAAGUAUGUGUUAUGGAAAGAAGUGAUAAGAAGGCUAUAUAUGCUUUAUAUAUACAAAAGGCAAGACUUGCCCGAGGGUAAACAAUAAACAUUCAAAAGAAGCAGGCAAAAAUAAGAGAAACUGAAUUUUCUCUUUUCUUCAUUGGCUGAGCAGAAGAGGUGGCAUGGACAAACUUUUUCAGCCUACUUGGAUCCAAACAAGCAAGCACUAUAGGAUUCCCUUGAAAAAUAAUGCAAAGUAAAACCCCAAAACCUAUUUUUAGAUAUAACAGUCUCACUCUCCACGAAUGACUUGUUCAGCAAACAUCUGCCAUCCAUCUCAACGGUAAUCUAGUGCCGCAUGUCUGGAAAUGUCACUGACCAUUCCAUGUACACCACCGUAAACAUGAUCUUUACCAUAUUCUUUUUCUUCAUCACUCCCUUUCCUAAUCCCUUAACAGACAUUCCUGGUAAAAUAGCAUGCGGUUAUUAUCAACCAGGCCAGACAACUGAUAACUGGUCCUUCGAGUUAACUGCUGCAUCAGUGUCAGGAUCAGCUGUGGUUGCUUUAAUCUCUUCAUUACUGGAAGUUUAAUCUUGGGAGAUAAUCUCUUGACUUCUUCUGAUGUAUAUAUGAAAAUCUUCCUCACCAUGCUGCAGAACUCAUGCCAUGGGUCAUCCCCAACCAUCAUCAUGUCAUCUUCAUCAUCAGUGUAGAAAACUUGCCAUUUCUUUGCUGAUCCAUCGAGCUCACCUUCAAUGUCAAAACAUAUUCUCCAGCUUCCUCAGCAAGUCCUCAUAACAUUCAAACUGUGUCAAAUCAACAGCUCUACCAACAGCAAUUCCCUGCAUGUGAACUUUUGUGCAGCUUCUGAUUUGACGGCUUUGCAACUCUUGAGGAGAUCUCAGGCAUGAUUUCUCAGGCUCACAACUUACUGAAGGGAUUUCAGAUCGAUUAACAUUUGAUGGCUCAGAAUGCCGAUCAGAUUCAGCAUCCAAAGACACAAUAGGGCAAUCAUCCACCAUUCCAGAUGUAACAGGUAAUGGUGAAGUUUGUUCCACAUUGGAGUUGUCAACAAGUUGAAUCCCGAAAAGCCUGUAACCAGUUCCGGUGCUUUGUUUUCUCUCUCCAGAAUCUUUGUUAAUAACUGGGACAACAGAAUCUGUAACACUUUCCACCCGGUUAGGCCAAUACAUUGAGUUGGGGGAAACGGCAGGCAAUGGACUAUUGCCACAAAAGCCAAGAGAUUUGGCCUUUGCAGUUGUAGAGAAAUUGGGAGAUGGAUAAAGAUCCCGUCCACGAUGAGAGUCACCAUAUGAUAAAGCAGGAGACUCAGUUGGGGGUUUCCACUUACCAAGUGCGGACAGAUCUGGUGAUUUCCUUUGCACAGGUUGGGGGUUUGAAGGAGCAGUUGCAACAAAUGGUUCUAUUUCCCAUGGUGAUACUCUAUCUGGAGGCAGAUUGACGAAGGUUCAUCACAUUGAACCUUUAAGGAUCUCCACUCAGAAUCAGCCCAUCCAGAUGACAUAUCAUCUCCAACAACAACAAUAGCGCCACUAAACUUGCAGCUCAGUGUUAUUGACCUCUAUUGCUAAAUGCCAAUCUAGUAUAUGAUGAUACCUUCGUUCAGGAACUUCCUCACCCUCAAAGCUCAUCUUAAACCUCAUCCCAACAGAAAGCUUGGGGCUCCAGCUUCAAGAUACUUGUUGACACUUACAAUGAACUCAGAACAACUUGUUCUGAAAAUAACAUGAUUACACAGAUAAUAUUAUUGCAACAAAUAACUAAAAAUGUAAGAGUUAAACAUCAUCAAAUAGACAAAACAGAAUUAGCAAUGCAAAACCUUAGCUUGUAGAAAACGAUAAAAAGAGUUCCAGUAGCAAUGGCAUGAGAUGCCAUGGCAAGAACGCCAAGAUGCAUGCUUUGGCUAGAUAUAACAGAAGAUGGCAUAUUAAUCUGCUGUCUCAUAAGUCUCCUUACUCCAACACGAAGUUCUCCAUUUUCUCCCCUCAAAAAGAUGAAUGCAUCGCCUGCCACUAACUUUUUUGAACUAACAAAGACACUCCACCCGGUUGUGAGCAGGUGGCGUCUAGGUUGACCCCGAAAAAUAUGUCGGAAAUGCCAUUCAUUGCCAUGCAAAUCAGUGGCAACCAAUUCUUGCCAAGGUGGCUGCUGGGACAUAUCCAGGGGAGGCAAACAAUCAUCCGCAUGCCUUCGAAGAACAGAGAAACCACCAUGAGUGCUUGUGUCAGAAGCAGUAAUCGUCUUACAAAAUGAAUGAAUUGUGCAUCUUUCGGGUUCUGAUAGUGGAGAAUCUGCGCCAGUAACCUUACUUUGCUGAUCUGAGAAAUAAUAGUAAGAUCAAGGCAGCAAAAACUAAUAAAAUGAAACGCAUUUGAAAGCCUUGUGCAAGACAAAGAAAGUGAAUAGCUUACAUCUGGUUCUGGAAGUAGGGUAAUUUGUGCGUAAACUUCAUCUGUUUCAGGUUCAGCCUGCAUUACAAUUAUCAUAAAGUAACCCACCCUGUGCAGAACGUUGACCACCUUACAAAGGAUUUUAGAUGGAAAAUUGAAUGAUGCAUUUGCUGCUCCAACCGUUGAUGCGUUGAAGCUUCAAGCUGUUCCAUAUGACCUUUUGGAAAAUAAUAAGCUCGUUCCCCUUCACGAGGAAGAUUGACAAUAGGUCCAGCACAGGCAUGCCAUAGUUCUUUGUACAGAGCAUCAUUGCAUCCUCCUGUAUGAGGAUGUCCAACAGGAGUAUGAUUGGUGCUAGUGAAUGCCAUAACAAAACCACAAGUCCUCAGGGAUCAGCAAAGUCAAUCUUUUCUUGACCUCUUCAAAUCCGUAGGAUCCAAAAACAGCAACAGCAAGUUAGGGCUUCAAUGAACAAAUACCGACUGGAUCGAAAAUCAUAUACACACAGUGGCCUCUCUCUCUCUUCUUCUCCUUCUUCGGCUUCUUCUCUCUCUCUAUAUAUAAAGUGUAUAAAUCGUCAAUGUUCGGUCGAAGCCGACAUGACUUGGCUUUGGCUCUCUUUUCUGUUCCUCUCUUACACACAGUCUCCUCUCUCUUGCUUUGGUCUUUAACUUUUUUACUUUUUCUUUUU